UACGUAGGGGGCAAGCGUUGUCCGGAAUCAUUGGGCGUAAAGAGCUUGUAGGCGGUCUGUCGCGUCUGCUGUGAAAAUCCGGGGCUCAACCCCGGACUUGCAGUGGGUACGGGCAGACUAGAGUGUGGUAGGGGAGACUGGAAUCCUGGUGUAGCGGUGAAAUGCGCAGAUAUCAGGAGGAACACCGAUGGCGAAGGCAGGUCUCUGGGCCACUACUGACGCGAGAAGCGAAAGCAUGGGGAGCGAACAGG
rnacentral:rRNA from 1 species